UAUUUGCAAUUAUACCCCAAUUAAGCUGUUUAAAAAAAUAAACAGAGUACCAUCACAGAAAAUGAUGAAGUACAGAACUCCAAAAAUCUAUUCUUCCACUAAAGCAACACUUAAGCUGGAAAAAAACCAGUCAAAAUCAACUUUUUUGAGCUCUAGAAUCUAAUCAAAAUUUUACAAAAUCCAGGGGAAUGCUUAGUGAAGAAAGACAUGGUAAAUUUUGGUAAGAGAGUAUCAUGGCAUUUUAAUUUAUCUGCCUUAUCAUCCACAGCUCCCUAAUUCAAUGACAGCAGUGGGGACAGCAGUCUGCAUUCCUGGUGAAGGUUGUUGGUGCCACAGGGAUCAGUAUGGACCUUAUUCUCAAAUAAUAGUAGCUAUGUGUUUUGGUGUGUCUGACCCUUCCCUGCAGGAUCAACAUAGGGGACUGCUUUUAUUUCAUCCACUUGGAGUUUUCUCAGAGCAGGAGUGAUCUCCAAGAUAGCUUAUGUCAAAAGCAUUUAAAGGCAAAUACGUUAGCCACAGCCUUCUGGGGCAAGGGAUAACAGGUCAAACAGCAGAGAGAACCAAAAGCCUGGGAAAGAGGCUGGGGAAGGAAACACACUUGGAAAUAAGAACUCUGGGCCUGCACCUGGUGCCCGGCGGGUUGUGCAGCACGGGGCGCCGUGAGAGCUGGCGGUCACCAUGGCAAUGCAGGAGCUGGUGGAGGCCGAAUGCGGGGGUGCCAACCCGCUCACGAAGCUGGCCGGGCACUUCACCCAAGACAAGGCCCUUCGGCAGGAGGGAUUGAGGCCUGGCCCCUGGACCGCCGGAGCUCCAGCCUCUGAGGCAGUCUCCAAACCUUUGGGAGUAGCUUUUGAAGAUGAGUGGGUGGCUGAAUUCCUGCAGGACCAGAAUGCACCCCUUGUGUCCCAUGCCCCUCAGACCUUCAAGAUGGAUGACCUCCUGGCUGAGAUGCAGCAGAUUGGACAGUCAAACUUCCACCAGGCUCCCCAGAGAGCCCCUGGUGUGGCAGACUUGGCCUUGUCUGAGAACUGGGCCCAGGAGUUCCUUGCAACUGGAGAUGCUGUGGAUGUAACUCAGGAUUAUAACAAGACUGACUGGUCCCAAGAAUUCAUCUCUGAAGUUACAGACCCCUUUGUGUCCCCCGCUUGCUGGGCUGAGGAAUAAUUGGAGCAAUCAGAGGAGAAACUGUGGCUGGGAGAGCCUGAGGGAACAGCCUCCACUCGCUGGUGUGAUGAAUAUCAUCCUGAGGAGGAUCUGCAGCACAUGGCCAGUGACUUUGUGGCCAAAGUGGAUGACCGCAAAUUGGCUAAUUCUGAGGGUACAUCAGAUGCCUGGGUUGACCAGUUCACAUGACCAGUAAACAUAUCUGCCCUUGAUAUGGAGUUUGAACGAGCCAAGUCAGCUAUAGAGUCUGAUGUCGAUUUCUGGAACAAGUUCCAGGCAGAGUUGGAGGAGAUGGCAAAACGGGAUGCUGAGGCCCACCCCUGGCUUUCUGACUAUGAUGACCUUACGUCAGCUACCUAUGAUAAGGGGUACCAGUUUGAGGAGGAGAAGCCCUUGCGUGAUCACCCUCAGCCUUUUGAAGAAGGGCUGUGGUGACUUGAGGAGGGGGACCUGCCAAAUGCUGUGCUGCUUUUUGAGGCAGUUGUGCAGUAGGAUCCUAAGCACAUGGAAGCUUGGCAGUAUCUGGGUACCACCCAGGCAGAGAAUGAACAAGAACUAUUAGUCAUCAGUGCAUUGCGGAGGUGUCUGGAGCUAAAGCCAGAUAACCAGACAGCACUGAUGGCGCUGGCCAUGAGCUUCACCAAUGAGUCCCUGCAGUGACAGGCCUGUGAAACCCUGUGGGACUGGCUGUGCUAAUCUGGUGACACCUGCUGAAGAAGGGGCUGGUGGGGCAGGACUGGGCCCCAGCAAGCAUAUCCUGGGGUCUCUGUUGUCUGAUUCCCUGUUUCUUGAAGUGAAAGAGCUCUUCUCUGGCAGCUGUGCAGCUGGACCCUACCUCCAUUAACCCUGAUGUGCAGUGUGGCUUGGGAGUCCUUUUCAACCUGAGUGGGGAGUAUGACAAGGCCGUGGACUGCUUCACAGGUGCAUUCAGUGUUCGUCCCAAUGACUAUUUGCUGUGGAAUAAGCUAGGGGCCACCUUGGCCCAUGGAAACCAGAGUGAAGAAGCAGUAGCUGCAUACUGCCAGGCCCUCGAGCUCCAGCCUGGCUAUAACCAGUCACGCUAUAACCUGGGCAUCAACUGCAUCAACCUUGAGGCUCACCAGGAGGCUGUGGAGCACUUUCUGGAGGCCCUGAACAUGCAGAGGAAAAGCCGAAGCCCUCAGGGUGAAGGAGGCGCCAUGUCGGAGAACAUCUGGAGCACCCUGUGUUUGGCAUUGUCUAUGUUAGGCCAGAGCGAUGCCUAUGGUGCAGCUGAUGCCCGGGAUCUGUCCACCCUCCUAACUAUGUUUGGCCUGCCCCAGUGACAACGGGAUGGGCUGCCCUGUGAGUGUCCACCUGGAGGGGUCCCCGCUCUGGAUGUGAUUCCCCCUCCCCCUACCAAGGAGGUAGGCUGAUGACCAUAAGCGGUAUGGCCUUUCAGGAACUGCCUCAAUGUAGGGGUGGGUAGUCUGUGUUCUAGCUCCUACAUAAUUGUAGGAAAAUGAGCUGCAUUAUCUCUGAGUCUCUUGGUAAUUCAAAGGCUGUACAUACAGCUACAGAUCUCUCUGCUCAUCAUGCCUUUUCUUGGUGCUGCAUUUUGGGUAGGAUCCAACGAUUUAGGGUAACUGUUGUCAUCAGCUGCCAUUCCUGAUAGGGUCUACCACAUUUGUAAUGUCUGUCCUUUCCCUCACUUUUACUGGGAAUUGAUAAUAGUCCAGCUUCCUUGGGCAGUGUAAGUAGGAGGUUCAUUUGCUGUGUGCCUCUAAUGAUGAUGGUUUGGGGUGGGACGUGCUAGGAGUUAGCCUCUGUUUGGCUGAAUUGUUGAAUUGGCUGAGCAGAGCUGAGUUUUGGUAGGAGUGUUCAUAGUUCUGUUAUUCUUGGACCUCUCCUAGCUGAGCUCUGAUUCCUUGUGAGUAUGAUGCUGAUGCAGUAAUCCUGUGUCAUCAUCACGGUGGUCCUAAGGAGCUUCCAGGGCCAAUUGCUACAGAGUGUCUGGGUGUGUGGGGUUGAAGGAAGGUUCACUUGUGAAAGGAGGCUGGGUGGGAGCAGGGAGGUGCUAGAUCAGAUGAGAUCUAGGCUCUGUUCUGGAGCGUUGGGAGGACAGAGCAAGUGGGAAGGGGGUGUGGUGAGUGCAGCAAACCUUCCUCCUCUUAGAAGUACCUGUGAAUGGGAAUUGAGCUAACUCUUCUAGAAAGUUGAUUCAGAAAUUGCAAUCUUGCAGAUUUCUAGCAAAUAGGUUCAGUGUUGCCAUAAGCCUUUGCUAUAUUUCUUGAAAUGUUUCUAGGGGAGAGCAUUGGAAAAUCCCCUUCCCCCAUCUUGUCUCCAGAAGGUGAUGAUUGAAGGAAGAUGAGGGAGCAGCUUGGAUUCUUCUCAAUUGUCCCCUGCAUGGGAAGGUAAUGACUGCUAAGCCUCUUGCCUUGUCUUCAGUAGCUAAUGAUCAGACAGUUCUUUUUUUUUUAAACUACCAUGGUCCCAAAAUUCCAUCCUGAAAUUUAUUUUUCUUUGUAUGAAUAUGUGUAAAUGAUUUAAAAAUAAAACUGUAAAAUAUUUGCACAAAGAAAAAAAAAA